rnacentral:rRNA from 1 species
GGGAUAUCCGGUCAACAUUCCGGAACCACUUAAGAUGAGUGAUGGAGGGACGCAACGAGGUUGGCCAGCCUGUGAUUGGUUGUACAGGUGCGCCAUAUGUCAGCCUUUGAGGUUUGUAGGUAAAUCCGCAGACUGAGGUGAGAUAUGGUGACGAGCCCCUGAGGCAUAAGUGAGUUGAGCCUUGUUGCCGAGAAAAGCUUCUAAACGUUGAUUCUUGAGUGCCUGUACCGCGAACCGACACUGGUAGAUGGGUAGAAUAUACCAAGGCGAACGGGAGAACCCUCGUUAAGGAAUUAGGCAAAUUAGCCUCGUAACUUCGGGAUAAGAGGUGUCUUCUGACGUGAGUGUAAACGAGCGUUGGGAGAUCGCAGUGAAAUGGUUCUAGGGACUGGUUAACAAAACCACAGGUCUCUGCAAAGCCGCAAGGCGAUGUAUAGGGGCUGGCACCUGCCCAGUGCCGGAAGGUUAAAGGGAGAGGUUAGCGCAAGCGAAGCUUUGAACUGAAGCCCCGGUGAACGGCGGCCGUAACUAUAACGGUCCUAAGGUAGCGAAAUUCCUUGUCGGGUAAGUUCCGACCCGCACGAAAGGUGUAACAACUAGAACUCUGUCUCGACGAGGGACCCGGCGAAAUUGAAAUGGCCGUGAAGAUGCGGCCUACCCGCAGUAGGACAAAAAGACCCCGUGGAGCUUUACUGCAACUUGGCAUUGAGUUUGGAUUUCAUUUGUGUAGGAUAGGUGGGAGGCUAUGAAGCUAGGGCGCCAGCCUUGGUGGAGCCGCCGGUGAAAUACCACCCUGAUGAACUCUAGACCCUAACCCCAUUCCGUAAUCCGGAUGGGGGACCGUGCCAGGUGGGCAGUUUGACUGGGGCGGUCGCCUCCCAAAGAGUAACGGAGGCGCCCAAAGGUUCCCUCAGGCUGAAUGGAAACCAGCCUAAGAGUGUAAAGGCAUAAGGGAGCUUGACUGCAAGGCCAACGCGCCGAGCAGAGACGAAAGUCGGGCUUAGUGAUCCCACGGUUCCGAGUGGAAGGGCCGUGGCUCAUCGGAUAAAAGCUACCCCGGGGAUAACAGGCUAGUCAGGUCCAAGAGUCCAUAUCGACGACCUGGCUCGGCACCUCGAUGUCGGCUCAUCGCAUCCUGGGGCUGGAUAAGGUCCCAAGGGUCGGGCUGUUCGCCCGUUAAAGCGGUACGCGAGCUGGGUUCAGACCGUCGUGAGACAGGUCGGUCUCUAUCCACUGUGGGCGUAAGAGAUUUGAGAGGAGCUGCUCCUAGUACGAGAGGACCGGAGUGGACAGACCUCUGGUGUGCCAGCUGUCGUGCCAACGGCAUAGCUGGGUAGCUACGUCUGGCAGAGAUAACCGCUGAAAGCAUCUAAGUGGGAAACUCGCCUCAAGAUUAGAUCUCUAUAAUCCCGUUAAGGGAGUAAGAUCGCAGGUAGACUACCUGCUUAAUAGGCAGAAUGUGUAAGCGCAGUAAUGCGUUGAGCUAAGCUGUACUAAUGAUCGAGUGCUUCCCCGU